GAUGAACGCUAGCUACAGGCUUAACACAUGCAAGUCGAGGGGUAACGAGAGGAAAGCUUGCUUUCCUUGUCGACGACCGGCGCACGGGUGAGUAACGCGUAUCCAACCUGCCCCCGACUAGGGAAUAACCUUGCGAAAGUAAGACUAAUACCCUAUAAUUUCCUCAGAUGACAUCUGACGAGGAAUAAAGAUUUAUCGGUUGUGGAUGGGGAUGCGUCUGAUUAGCUUGUUGGCGGGGUAACGGCCCACCAAGGCAACGAUCAGUAGGGGUUCUGAGAGGAAGGUCCCCCACAUUGGAACUGAGACACGGUCCAAACUCCUACGGGAGGCAGCAGUGAGGAAUAUUGGUCAAUGGGCGGAAGCCUGAACCAGCCAAGUAGCGUGCAGGAUGACGGCCCUAUGGGUUGUAAACUGCUUUUAUACAGGAAUAAAGUUAGCCACGUGUGGUUAUUUGUAGGUACUGUAUGAAUAAGGACCGGCUAAUCCCGUGCCAGCAGCCGCAGUAA
rnacentral:rRNA from 1 species